CAUGACGGUCUUCCUCUGUUGUGUCUGGCUUCAUAUUUUUACGUUUGGAUCAGUUUAGCUGUACGUCAGAUAUUCCCGCAGUCGUUCCCAAGUGUUCUGCCCCCGUCGUUUGAAGCUGCCGUCUUAUUACAGCGAGCACAGGCCGGCAGAGGGCAGCCACAGAGAGCAGAAGCUCAGAUUAAGCCCAUAGCUGACUGUAUUCCUCUGGAUCUUGUUAAUUCCUGGCAACGGGCCUCAAGCCGCCCGCACAAUUAACUCUGCGCCGCGUCAGGGAAGAUCUCCAGCCAGACGGGCAGACCUAGCAGCUGACUUCUGUUGGAUCAGAACGGGGAGGCACGCACGCAGGGGUUAGCUGACCUUAGCAGGCAGGGCGCAGCCGGCGGUCAGCCUUUUAUCAUUAAUCAAAGAGGCUAAUUUGACUCCAGACCCCUAUCUCUUGCAGCGCAUACAUUCUACAUGAAUCACUGUUUUCUUUUUAUUGUGUUUGACUUCUAAAUUCAAAUCGAGUUAUUGGUGAAAUGUUUCUAAGCAACUACUCCAAGAUAUAACAUGUAGCUCCGUGCAACCCUUCUAUUCAUCCCUACCUUUCUUUUCUUUUU